rnacentral:rRNA from 1 species
GAUUAUGGUCGGGCCAGCUUGUCAAAAGCCUGAUCUCAUCAGAUCUCAGAAGCUAUAAGGCCAGGCCUGGUUAGUACUUGGAUGGGAAACCAUUGGAAAUAACAGGUGCCACAGUUG